rnacentral:rRNA from 1 species
UAGGGAAUCUUCGGCAAUGGACGGAAGUCUGACCGAGCAACGCCGCGUGAGUGGAGAAGGUUUUCGGAUCGUAAAGCUCUGUUGUAAGAGAAGAACGAGUGUGAGAGUGGAAAGUUCACACUGUGACGGUAUCUUACCAGAAAGGGACGGCUAACUACGUGCCAGCAGCCGCGGUAAUACGUAGGUCCCGAGCGUUGUCCGGAUUUAUUGGGCGUAAAGCGAGCGCAGGCGGUUAGAUAAGUCUGAAGUUAAAGGCUGUGGCUUAACCAUAGUACGCUUUGGAAACUGUUUAACUUGAGUGCAAGAGGGGAGAGUGGAAUUCCAUGUGUAGCGGUGAAAUGCGUAGAUAUAUGGAGGAACACCGGUGGCGAAAGCGGCUCUCUGGCUUGUAACUGACGCUGAGGCUCGAAAGCGUGGGGAGCAAACAGGAUUAGAUACCCUGGUAGUCCACGCCGUAACGAUGAGUGCUAGGUGUUAGACCCUUUCCGGGGUUUAGUGCCGCAGCUAACGCAUUAAGCACUCCGCCUGGGGAGUACGACCGCAAGGUU